rnacentral:rRNA from 1 species
GCCUGUUUUACAAAAACAUGUCUCUAUGAUUGGUUUAUAGAGUCUGGCCUGCCCACUGAUUGGAAUAAAGAUUAAAGGGCCGCGGUAUAUUGACCGUGCGAAGGUAGCAUAAUCAUUAGUCUUUUAAUUGAAGGCUGGAAUGAAUGGUUUCACAAGAAAUUUACUGUCUUUAAGUUAAGAUUUGAAUUUUACUUUUAAGUGAAAAGGCUUAGAUGUAUUAAGGGGACGAUAAGACCCUAUAAAACUUUACAUAAAAAAAUUAUUUUAAAAUUUGUUUGUUUAAGAUUGGGAAAGUUUAAAUAUGUUUUGUUGGGGAGACAUGAAUAUAGUGUGGAUAGUAACUGUUCAAAAUUUAGAAAGUCAAAUUAUAAUUGAGAAAAGAGAAAUGGUCCUUAAAAAAGAUUAAAAGAGUAAGUUACUUUAGGGAUAACAGCGUUAUUUUUUUGGAGAGUUCUUAUCAAUAGAAAAGAUUGCGACCUCGAUGUUGAAUUAAAAUUUCUUUAUAAUGCAGUUGUUAUAAGAGAAAGUCUGUUCGACUUUUAAAAUUUUACAUGAUUUGAGUUCAAACCGGCGUGAGCCAGGUUGUUUUCUAU